GUUUGAUCCUGGCUCAGAAUCAACGCUGGCGGCGUGCCUCAGACAUGCAAGUCGAACGAUUAAAGCUCUCUUCGGAGAGUGUAUAGAGUGGCGCACGGGUGAGUAACACGUAAGUAAUCUACCCUCGAGUGGGGAAUAACAACCGGAACGGUUGCUAAUACCGCAUAAUGCAGCGGCACCGCAAGGUGACAGUUGUUAAAGAUUUAUCGCUUGAGGAGGAGCUUGCGGCAGUAUUAGCUAGUUGGUAGGGUAACGGCUUACCAAGGCUACGAUCUGUAACCGGUCUAAGAGGACGGUCGGUCACACUGACACUGAAUAACGAGUCAGACUCCUACGGGAGGCAGCAGUCGGGAAUUUUGGGCAAUGGGCGAAAGCCUGACCCAGCAACGCCGCGUGAAGGAUGAAGUAUUUCGGUAUGUAAACUUCGAAAGAAUAGGAAGAAUUAAUGACGGUACUAUUUAUAAGGUCCGGCUAACUACGUG
rnacentral:rRNA from 1 species